rnacentral:rRNA from 1 species
CUGGUGGCGAGUGGCGAACGGGUGAGUAAUAUAUCGGAACGUGCCUUAUAGUGGGGGAUAACGCAGCGAAAGUUGCGGUAAUACCGCAUACGCCCUGAGGGGGAAAGCGGGGGAUCGAAAGACCUCGCGCUACUAGAGCGGCCGAUAUCUGAUUAGCUAGUUGGUGAGGUAAAGGCUCACCAAGGCUUCGAUCAGUAGCUGGUCUGAGAGGACGAUCAGCCACACUGGGACUGAGACACGGCCCAGACUCC